GGUAGGUGAGAAGAGGGAGGGUUUGUCUGGAGUGCAGGCAGGGGGUAAGUGAGAAGAGAUAGGGUUUGUCUGGAGUAUAGGCAGGGGGUAGGUGAGAAGAGAUAGGGUUUGUCUGGAGUAUAGGCAGGGGGUAGGUGAGAAGAGAUAGGGAUUGUCUGGAGUAUAGGCAGAGGGUGGGCUGUACAAGGGGUUAUGGAGUGUAGGCAGGGCGGUAUGAGGAUAUGUAGGGAUUGUUUGGAGUGUAGACAUGAGGGGGAUUCUGAAUGUGUCCGGGGAGGUGGUGCAGCCUGGAGCGUAGGGGGUUAUGGAGAUUGGAGUCGAUGAGGUCCCUCUGAAGUCUUGCCACUGUUGUAAAUACAGGAAACACAGCGGCUCAGAUUGUACGCAGCGAGUUCCCACAAAUAACAAUGUGAUGCCAUCAUCUGUUUCUUUUUGUGGAGUAAAUAUUGACUUCCCUAUUGUUCUUUGAAAUAAUGCUGUGGGAUGUUUUUUGCAUCCACCUGAGAGGGACAUCUGUCACGGUUUUAUCCCCUCAUCCAGGUUCUUUCGGUACCAGUGUCAGCUUUGAAGGAAGCCUUGAGCCCACAAGCUCGUCCCUGAGAUAAAAGACAGCUACCAGCUGAGCGAUUGCUGACAAAUACACUGAAAGAACAUGUAUUUUAGACUGAACGUAAUACUGCCAAUUUAAAAGAGUUGAUAUAAGAUCAUUCAAAGAUAUGACAAUAAAUACGUGAAAGGAGUGGAAAAGCA